AUACGUAGGGUGCGAGCGUUAAUCGGAAUUACUGGGCGUAAAGCGCGCGUAGGCGGUCCGUUUAGUUAGGCGUGAAAGGCCUGGGCUCAACCCGGGAACUGCGCUUAAAACUGGCGGGCUAGAGUCCGGGAGAGGGUGGCGGAAUUCCCAGUGUAGAGGUGAAAUUCGUAGAUAUUGGGAAGAACACCAGUGGCGAAGGCGGCCACCUGGUCCGGUACUGACGCUGAGGUGCGAAAGCGUGGGGAGCAAACAGGAUUAGAUACCCCAGUAGUCC
rnacentral:rRNA from 1 species